CCUACGGGUGGCAGCAGUAGGGAAUAUUGUUCAAUGGGGGAAACCCUGAAGCAGCAACGCCGCGUGGAGGAUGAAGGUUUUCGGAUUGUAAACUCCUUUUGUUAGAGAAGAAAAUGACGGUAUCUAACGAAUAAGCACCGGAUAACGUCGUGCCAGCAGCCGCGGUAAUACGGAGGGUGCAAGCGUUACUCGGAAUCACUGGGCGGAAAGAGCGCGUAGGCGGGUUAGCAAGUCAGAUGUGAAAUCCCAUGGCUUAACCAUAGAACUGCAUUUGAAACUGUUAUUCUAGAGUAUGGGAGAGGUAGGUGGAAUUCUAGGUGUAGCGGUAAAAUGCGUAGAGAUCAAGAGGAAUACUCAUUGCGAAGGCGGCCUUCUAGAACAUAACUGACGCUGAUGCGCGAAAGCGUGGGGAGCAAACAGGAUUAGAUACCCCUGUAGUC
rnacentral:rRNA from 1 species